rnacentral:misc_RNA from 1 species
UUUCCGUAGGUGAACCUGCGGAAGGAUCAUUAUCGUACAAAAUGUGAGGGGCAUGCGAGGGCUGUCGCUGACCCAAGAGUCGUGCAUGCCCGAGUGUGUCCUCUUGCAUAAUAAUCCAUCUCACCCUUUGUGCAUCACCGCGUGGGCACCCUUCGGGAUCAUCUCGGAGGGGGGCUCGCGUUUUCACACAAACCCCCCUUUUAAAAGUGUAGAAUGACCACAUUUAUGCAAUCAAUACAACUUUCAACAACGGAUCUCUUGGCUCUC